rnacentral:misc_RNA from 1 species
UUCGCGUGGUCUGGUGGUGAUACGCACCCUUCCGUGGCCGCGCCACAUGGCCUAAGACGGCGCAACUUUUUCCCCUGACUCGUGUGCACAUGAUCCGUCUCGACAAUAUCAGCAAGCAGAAUGGCCAUCAGAUUCUCUUCAUCGAAGCCUCCGCAGCGCUUCAGAGAGGCGAAAAGGUUGGCCUCGUCGGUCCGAACGGGUCAGGCAAGACGACGCUGUUUCGGAUGAUAACCGGCC